CAGGUGGUGCAUGGUUGUCGUCAGCUCGUGUCGUGAGAUGUUGGGUUAAGUCCCGCAACGAGCGCAACCCCUAUUGUUAGUUGCCAGCAUUCAGUUGGGCACUCUAAUGAGACUGCCGGUGACAAACCGGAGGAAGGUGGGGAUGACGUCAAAUCAUCAUGCCCCUUAUGACCUGGGCUACACACGUGCUACAAUGGAUGGUACAACGAGCAGCAAGACCGCGAGGUCAAGCGAAUCUCUUAAAGCCAUUCUCAGUUCGGAUUGCAGGCUGCAACUCGCCUGCAUGAAGCCGGAAUCGCUAGUAAUCGCGGAUCAGCACGCCGCGGUGAAUACGUUCCCGGGUCUUGUACACACCGCCCGUCACACCACGAGAGUUUGUAACACCCGAAGUCGGUGAGGUAACUUUUUUGGAGCCAGCCGCCUAAGGUGGGACAGAUGAUUGGGGUGAAGUCGUAACAAGGUAGCCGUAUCGGAAGGUGC
rnacentral:rRNA from 1 species